GUGAACGCUGGCGGUAGGCCUAACACAUGCAAGUCGAACGGCAGCACAGAGGAGCUUGCUCCUUGGGUGGCGAGUGGCGGACGGGUGAGGAAUACAUCGGAAUCUACUUUUUCGUGGGGGAUAACGUAGGGAAACUUACGCUAAUACCGCAUACGACCUCCGGGUGAAAGCAGGGGACCUUCGGGCCUUGCGCGAUUGAAUGAGCCGAUGUCGGAUUAGCUAGUUGGCGGGGUAAAGGCCCACCAAGGCGACGAUCCGUAGCUGGUCUGAGAGGAUGAUCAGCCACACUGGAACUGAGACACGGUCCAGACUCCUACGGGAGGCAGCAGUGGGGAAUAUUGGACAAUGGGCGCAAGCCUGAUCCAGCCAUACCGCGUGGGUGAAGAAGGCCUUCGGGUUGUAAAGCCCUUUUGUUGGGAAAGAAAAGCAGUCAGUUAAUACCCGAUUGUUCUGACGGUACCCAAAGAAUAAGCACCGGCUAACUUCGUGCCAGCCGCCGCGGUAA
rnacentral:rRNA from 1 species